CAAAAAUGUCAAAAAAAAUGUGGAUAAUGGAAGGAAUUAUCUACAGAGAAAGAUAUGCCUACAGAGAAAGAAAACAAGAGCAGGCUUAAGUUCACCCUACUACUUUUGACUGUGGAAAACCUGGUUAGUGCCUAGAAGACGGAAUAAGAAAAAAUAAAAUUAUUCCUUGUUCAUUGUUAACAUGACUCCAUCACAAUAAGAAAAUGAGGAUCAAUCAUCACCUGGAGUAACUUGCCCCAAGUUCUCAGGACUAGUAAGUGGAGAAGCAGCUGAAAAAGGAUAUUACACCUUCACUUUCCUCAAGACUGCACAUAUCAAGACAAUGAACCUUCAAGUGCACAGACUAAAUAUGCCCAAGCAAGGGAAGAAAUCCAAUGGUCUAGAGCAGAAGGAUGCAGUGAAGAAAUACUUUAAUAUCUAAAUGUUUCAGAAAAAAAUCUAGUGCUUACAAGCCAGCAUGGCUCAGAAGUAUUUUCUACCCUUAUGGCUUUUGCAUCAAGGUUUCUAAUCUAGAAAUAGGUCAGUGUUUUCAUGGUCAGGUAAAUUUGAUUGAUGACACUGAUAACGAAAGAUAAAAUAAUUGGCUCAUUUUACAAGCAGUUUGCAGUAAUGCCAUGAUCUUAAAAUUAGCUGUCUCUGUAUUAAAAACACUUAAUUUUUUAAACAAUCUCCUUUUUUAUCUCCUUUUUUAUAGCAUUUAUCAGUCUAACUUAAUAUAUAGUGAACCUAUACAUUUUACCAUCUAACUCCUCUGACAAACCCCC